AUGUGGAUGAGAGAGGAGGGUGUGAACAUCCAAUGCACCUCAAUAACCUGGAUGUGGAUGAGAGAGGAGGAGACGAACAUCCAAUGCACCUCAAUAACCUGGCUAUCACCACUGCUUCUCAUGGCCUUGUGGGCUGUCAGCACAUUCUGGAUUGCAAAUCCAAACAACAGCUUAAUAGAGAAUGCAGUGGCUGCUGCUCAGGAUGUUGGGAUAUGGUGCCUCUUCCCCUGGGUCCUCACCAGGCAAUCUGAUGGAAAAUAUCCAGAGGGACAGGCUGAACACAUCCCCUACAGCAGAGCCCACUCGAUUUUCAAGCGUGCUACAUCCUGUGCUCGUGUCCUGCUGAGCGGUGCCAGGAGACCCAGAGGGAAGGGAGAGCCUGGCUGCUGCUGCUCCUGUGCCUGCACGCCCUGCCUGCCCACAGCCAUUGAUAAAAUCCAUCAUCUUUGGUCCCUGUUCAAGUAA
rnacentral:lncRNA from 1 species